rnacentral:rRNA from 1 species
AGUGAACGCUGGCGGUAGGCCUAACACAUGCAAGUAGAACGGCAGCACAGUAAGAGCUUGCUCUUACGGGUGGCGAGUGGCGGACGGGUGAGGAAUACAUCGGAAUCUACUUUUUCGUGGGGGAUAACGUAGGGAAACUUACGCUAAUACCGCAUACGACCUACGGGUGAAAGCAGGGGAUCUUCGGACCUUGCGCGAUUGAAUGAGCCGAUGUCGGAUUAGCUAGUUGGCGGGGUAAAGGCCCACCAAGGCGACGAUCCGUAGCUGGUCUGAGAGGAUGAUCAGCCACACUGGAACUGAGACACGGUCCAGACUCCUACGGGAGGCAGCAGUGGGGAAUAUUGGACAAUGGGCGCAAGCCUGAUCCAGCCAUACCGCGUGGGUGAGGAAGGCCUUCGGGUUGUAAAGCCCUUUUGUUGGGAAAGAAAAGCAGCAGGUUAAUACCCCGCUGUUCUGACGGUACCCAAAGAAUAAGCACCGGCUAACUUCGUG